UACAGAGGUCUCAAGCGUUGUUCGGAUUCAUUGGGCGUAAAGGGUGCGUAGGUGGCGGGGUAAGUCCGGUGUGAAACCUUGGGGCUCAACCCCAAGCCUGCACUGGAUACUGCCUCGCUUGAGUCCGGGAGGGGAGAGCGGAAUUCCUAGUGUAGCGGUGAAAUGCGCAGAUAUCGGGAGGAACACCUAUGGCGAAGGCAGCUCGCUGGGACGUUACUGACGCUGAGACGCGAAAGCGUGGGGAGCAAACAGG
rnacentral:rRNA from 1 species